rnacentral:rRNA from 1 species
GGAAGGUCCGGGCGUUAUCCGGAUUUAUUGGGUUUAGAGGGAGCGUAGAUGGAUGUUUAAGUCAGUUGUGAAAGUUUGCGGCUCAACCGUAAAAUUGCAGUUGAUACUGGAUAUCUUGAGUGCAGUUGAGGCAGGCGGAAUUCGUGGUGUAGCGGUGAAAUGCUUAGAUAUCACGAAGAACUCCGAUUGCGAAGGCAGCUCACUGGAGCGCAACUGACGCUGAAGCUCGAAAGUGCGGGUAUCGAACAGGAUUAGAUACCCUGGUAGUCCGCACGGUAAACGAUGGAUGCCCGCUGUUGGUCUGAACAGGUCAGCGGCCAAGCGAAAACAUUAAGCAUCCCACCUGGGGAGU